rnacentral:rRNA from 1 species
ACUACGGGUGGCUGCAGUGGGGAAUAUUGGGCAAUGGGCGCAAGCCUGACCCAGCAACGCCGCGUGAAGGAAGAAGGCUUUCGGGUUGUAAAAUUCUUUUGACAGGGAAGAGUAGAAGACGGUACCUGUCGAAUAAGCAACGGCUAACUACGUGCCAGCAGCCGCGGUAAUACGUAGGUGGCAAGCGUUGUCCGGAUUUACUGGGUGUAAAGGGCGUGUAGCCGGGUUGACAAGUCCGAUGUGAAAUCCUGGGGCUUAACCGCAGAACUGCAUUUGAAACUGUUGAUCUUGAGUACUGGAGAGGCAGACGGAAUGCCUGGUGUAGCGGUGAAAUGCGUAGAUAUUAGGAGGAACACCAGUGGCGAAGGCGGUCUGCUGGACAGCAACUGACGGUGAGGCGCGAAAGCGUGGGGAGCAAACAGGAUUAGAUACCCUAGUAGUC